AGACUGUCUACCUGGAUCCCUAGGACCACACGGGUUGGGACUCAGAUCAGUGCCUUGCUUAGCCAUCCUCAGGGAAGCUGCUUCUUGCGGUAAAAGGGAACUACUCAGGGGACCCACGGCUGAGCAGUGUGACUCUGGAACACUCCAUCCUAAAUGGUGGCGUCUUCAUCGACAACAUCUUCAGAGACAACAGGAACUACGCACACCAGAGACGGGCAGCACAGGCCCAAGCAAGAUGGGGUCUCAGCACCGAGGAGGAACUGAACACAACCUCCCUGCCCACCCAAACACAAGCUCUCCAGCUGAUCGACGCUCCCGUGGGAAGGAUUUUCUGAACUCCAACAACCUCCCUUGGGUCACUGCUUUCUCUGUUACACUUGUGUGUAACAGCGCACUGGAAUGGAAGCAUGGUUGUCCACAGCAUUAGAUUACAGUCUGCCCACUCUUUCAAGUCCUCAGAGCCUUGGCUGAAACAGGCGUUUCUUCCCACCCCUCCUCCACUUACUGUGCACGUCGUCCUCGGCAUCCGACUCUUCCAGAGAGACCUGAGGUUGGGCUUUCACCUCCAGAUUUCUGCUGAGCCAGCUUGUUUGUUCCAAGGAGGAGCCAGCGAUGGUACCUACAGCUUCCAGGAUUCUCUGAGUGAUUUCCUGGAGAGCCAGCAGAAGCAAGACUUAGUUAAGGAGAAGAAAAGAGCCGGUGCAUACCACUGUCUGACAGGUACAGGGCACAGGCCACCGCGUGAGUCACCGCGGCACCAGUAGACUUUCAAUGAGCCACGCUGAGAGGCGAAAAGCAGCUGGGAUGACAGAUUUUAGUAACAGGUUCUCGACCUACAAAUAUCCAAUAUAAACAUCAGCAUUACACUCUGCAGCUGUCUCCUGCCCUAGCUGGCUUUGGACUCCUGUGGGUACUGUAUGCUUACAACGACCAGGGCCUUCUCUCAGCACAUGUUAUUGUGGCUCUGCUCUCUACGAGCCAACGGGUAAAGUCUGCAGGACUGAUGGGAAAGGCCAGCUUUCUGGUUCUCCUGGAUCGUGGUUCGUGCUGGUAUGAACUAAACACUACAGGAAACCACUGUUACUAAGCUGCUGGACUUGAGACUUUACAAAGUUUUGUGGACUGCCAGGCCACACCAACAGUCAGCCGAGUCACUCAUGCUGACUCCGUGUACACUGGCAGGGUGGUGACACUCCCUCUGCCUCGAUCCUCACGUAGAAGCAAGACAACAUGGACUAUCCUGCUGCUGCCUGCCUGCCUCCACUCCCGAGAAGCAGAGCCAGUGGGGCAGAUUUAUCCUUUAGUCUUGUUCUCCUCAGCCUGUCUCUGUCUGCAGAACCCGUGGCCUCUGCUGAGCUCACCAGAACACUUACUACUUACUCUCUUUUAUGGGAUGAAGUAUGGCCUUAUUCUAGAAUCACAAUAGAGCCAGUCAAGAUCUUUAUAAACAGUGCUGCGUGCUGCUGUGCAUGACUGAAACGCCAACACUUGGUAGGCAGGGAGGGGGAGAGUUCAGCCAGGGCUAUACAGAGAGACUGUAUCUUAAAACAAAGAUAUCGUUAAAAUAAAUUGCUGUAGUUUU
rnacentral:lncRNA from 1 species